UACGGAGGGGGCUAGCGUUGUUCGGAAUCACUGGGCGUAAAGCGCACGUAGGCGGACUCUUAAGUCGGGGGUGAAAUCCUGGAGCUCAACUCCAGAACUGCCUUCGAUACUGGGAGCCUUCGAGUUCGGGAGAGGUGAGUGGAACUGCGAGUGUAGAGGUGAAAUUCGUAGAUAUUCGCAAGAACACCAGUGGCGAAGGCGGCUCACUGGCCCGAUACUGACGCUGAGGUGCGAAAGCCAGGGGAGCAAACGGG
rnacentral:rRNA from 1 species